rfam:Schistosoma mansoni strain Puerto Rico chromosome 1, complete genome
AUCCAGCUGACGAGUACCAAAUACGACGAAACGCGCUUCCUGAAU